GACGAACGCUGGCGGCGUGCUUAACACAUGCAAGUCGAACGGAAAGGCCCUGCUUUUGUGGGGUGCUCGAGUGGCGAACGGGUGAGUAACACGUGAGUAACCUGCCCUUGACUUUGGGAUAACUUCAGGAAACUGGGGCUAAUACCGGAUAGGAGCUCCUGCUGCAUGGUGGGGGUUGGAAAGUUUCGGCGGUUGGGGAUGGACUCGCGGCUUAUCAGCUUGUUGGUGGGGUAGUGGCUUACCAAGGCUUCGACGGGUAGCCGGCCUGAGAGGGUGACCGGCCACAUGGGGACUGAGAUACGGCCCAGACUCCUACGGGAGGCAGCAGUGGGGAAUAUUGCACAAUGGGCGGAAGCCUGAGGCAGCAACGCCGCGUGCGGAAUGACGGCCUUCGGGUUGUAAACCGCUUUCGCCUGUGACGAAGCGUGAGUGACGGUAAUGGGUAAGGAAGCACCGGCUAACUACGUG
rnacentral:rRNA from 1 species